rnacentral:rRNA from 1 species
GACGAAGGAUGCAAGCGUUAUCCGGAUUCAUUGGGUUUAAAGGGAGCGUAGGCGGACCUGUAAGUCAGUGGUGAAAUCUCUUCGCUUAACGAAGAAACUGCCAUUGAUACUGCAGGUCUUGAGUACAGAUGAUGUGGGCGGAAUAUGACAUGUAGUGGUGAAAUACUUAGAUAUGUCAUAGAACACCGAUUGCGAAGGCAGCUCACAAAACUGUAACUGACGCUGAGGCUCGAAAGUGCGGGGAUCAAACAGG